rnacentral:rRNA from 1 species
AAUGAACGCUGGCGGCGCGCCUAAUACAUGCAAGUCGAGCGAGAAGACGUAGCAAUACGUUUGUAAAGCGGCGAACGGGUGAGGAAUACAUGGGUAACCUACCCUAGAGUGGGGAAUAACUAGCCGAAAGGUUAGCUAAUACCGCGUACGCUCCUUGGACUUCGGUCCAGGGAGGAAAGCGAUGCCGAGGGUAUCGCGCUCUUGGGUGGGCUCAUGUCCUAUCAGCUUGUUGGUGAGGUAACGGCUCACCAAGGCUUCGACGGGUAGCUGGUCUGAGAGGACGAUCAGCCACACUGGCACUGCGACACGGGCCAGACUCCUACGGGAGGCAGCAGUAAGGAAUAUUGCGCAAUGGGCGAAAGCCUGACGCAGCGACGCCGCGUGGGGGAUGACGGCCUCGGUU